UAUCUCUGUAGAGUCUGCAUAUCAAUAAGCGGAGGAAAAGAAACUAACUAGGAUUCCCUCAGUAACGGCGAGUGAAGCGGGAAGAGCUCAAAUUUGAAAUCUUCAAGGUUUUACCUUGACGGAUUGUAGUUUAAAGAAGUGUUUUCUGUUGAAGUUUUGGUAAAAGUUCUUUGGAAUAGGACAUCAUAGAGGGUGAGAAUCCCGUAUUUGACCAGCUAUUUCCAGCUGUGUGAUACACUUUCAAAGAGUCGGAUUGUUUGGGAAUGCAGUCCAAAAUGGGUGGUAAAUUUCAUCUAAAGCUAAAUAUUGGCGAGAGACCGAUAGCGAACAAGUACCGUGAGGGAAAGAUGAAAAGAACUUUGAAAAGAGAGUUAAACAGUACGUGAAAUUGUCAAAAGGGAAGCGUUUGACACCAGUGUUGUUUCUACGAAAAUCAAUUUAUGAUGGCUUGAUGCUAAGCUUUAAGACUUUAUCCGCUUGUUGUUUAGUUUUCUUGUCCUUGUGAAUGCACUUUUCGUGGAACAAGUCAACAUCAAUUUCUUUUGCUGUAAAAGGGUAAGAGGAAGGUGGCUUCGGCUUCGGUUGAAGUGUUUAUAGCCUUUUAUCUCUGCAGUCGGAGAGAUUGAGGUCUGCAGCGUAGACUCUUCGGGGUUAGAUACGUCGGUGCUAAGCUAUAGCUUUUCAUAGACAACUUGUUGACUAUGUUUAGUCAUGUGGCUUACCCGCUGGCGCUAUUUUACCUACGCUUAGGAUGUUGAGUCAUCACACAUCUCU
rnacentral:rRNA from 1 species